GGCAAAACAGAAUUCUUGAGUAUUCAGUAAGAGCAAUUAAGAUUUUAUUUGCACAGUAUUUGCAUAAAAGUAAAAACCAGCUGGGCCUAUUUUGGUUCCACAUCCAGUGGGGAUAAAGGCAGCUCAGAGACACACAGUCAAGAAGCAGAGGAAAGUUGAGUUACAAAGGAUCAAAAAGAUUUCUGCCCUGUAAUUAAGUAAUACCUAGGGGUUAGCCUCCAUGAUUGUAAAUAUCAGGAAAGGGGAUUUGCCAAGGGGUGGGCAGGGCUGAGGUCAGCAGGACUGAGGUCAGCAGGACUGAUGUCUGCCAGAUGACGGGCGGACAGAGCUCGGGAUCCGCGCCUGUCUUGGAUCCGGGCGGCAGCGAUUACAGAACCAGACAUCACAGGGGAGUGUGGCCAAUUGGCUGCCCCGGAGCCUGGCAGAAACGUGUGGAAUCUGGCCAGGAAUUCCCCGUUCACCACUGCCUCUGGAUUGUUACUCAACCUUCAGAUGGAAAGCUGGCGUUGGAACCAAGACCGAGAUCUGGCCGAUCCAGUCGUGGGUGCGUUUCUGCCCAGGUUUCUAAUUGUGGAAAGCGGUCUCACCAAGACAGCCCCAGAGUGGACAAAAGACCUUUAAACAUCCCUUUAAAAGAUAUAUAUUAA
rnacentral:lncRNA from 1 species